rnacentral:rRNA from 1 species
AUGCUUGUGGUUGAGCCGCUCGAGCUGCGUUUUCCCUAUGACCUUAACAAGAAGAUAUCAUGCUCACUUGAGCUGACAAACGAGACAAAUGCUUAUAAGGCAUUCAAUAUCGAGAUGAUGAGUCCCCUUCCAUACUGCACAGAACCAGGAAAAGGCGUCGUGUCACCACGAUCCAAGUGUAGUGUUAACGUAACAUUGAAACCACAUGACACGUCUCCAAGAGAUAUCCAACAUGCAUGCAAAUUUAUCGUGCGAAGCACCAAAGUGGAUGAGCUUCUUUGUUCUGAGGAUUUAACCAAAGACAUGUUCAUUAAAGAGGAUGGUAAUGUGGUUGAUGAGGUAAAUCUGGAUGUUGUUUUUGAUGCACUACACUACUGCGGACUGAUAUGCCACCGUUAG